GCGUUGGUGGUUUAGUGGUAAAAUUCAUCGUUGCCAUGACGAGAUAACAUCUCGGUUCUUGAACUCGAUGAGCCCCGGGUUCGAUUCCCGGCCGACGCA
rnacentral:tRNA from 1 species